rnacentral:rRNA from 1 species
UACGUAGGGUGCAAGCGUUGUUCGGAAUUACUGGGCGUAAAGCGCACGUAGGCGGACUAUUAAGUCAGGGGUGAAAUCCCGGGGCUCAACCCCGGAACUGCCUUUGAUACUGGUAGUCUCGAGUCCGGAAGAGGUGAGUGGAAUUCCGAGUGUAGAGGUGAAAUUCGUAGAUAUUCGGAGGAACACCAGUGGCGAAGGCGGCUCACUGGCCCGGUACUGACGCUGAGGCACGAAAGCGUGGGGAGCAAACAGG